UGUAUGUAGCUCAAUGGUAGAGCAUUUGCUCAGCAUACACGAAGCCCUGGGUUCCAUCUCCAGCAUCAUAA
rnacentral:tRNA from 1 species